UACAGAGGUCUCAAGCGUUGUUCGGAUUCAUUGGGCGUAAAGGGUGCGUAGGCGGCGCGGUAAGUCGGGUGUGAAAUCUCGGAGCCUAACUCCGAAACUGCAUUCGAUACUGCCGUGCUUGAGGACUGGAGAGGAGACUGGAAUUUACGGUGUAGCGGUGAAAUGCGUAGAUAUCGUAAGGAAGACCAGUGGCGAAGGCGGGUCUCUGGACAGUUCCUGGCGCUGAGGCACGAAGGUCAGGGGAGCAAACGGG
rnacentral:rRNA from 1 species